rnacentral:tRNA from 1 species
AAGGAUUUAAGUUAAACGACAAACUAAUAGCCUUCAAAGCUGUAAAUAGGGAUAAGGAUUCUCUAAGCCUUA